ensembl:antisense
AUUCCCUCUGCUCAAGUCCAGCCGUCUGCCACAGCAGUGCGACCCAUGGCAGACCAUCCAGGAGGCGGUGGUGGCAGCAGCGGCGUCCUUUCUUGCCUGCAUUUAUCUGCGCUGUUUGAAGCCUUGUGACCCGUCAGGACCCAACGGCUGUCUGAUCACAUUGCUGGGCUGCCUGCUGUCUUCGGGUUGGGAGAUCCUGGUUGGCCUGGAGGAAGAGAGAAGGCAGGCCUUGAGGAUAGAAAAGCUGCCCAGAUUCUUUAGUGUGGGACACGUGGGCAUAGGUGCAUGUGUGUGGCCAGAGACCGUCAGACUAGGGAAGAGCAUGCAUUUCCCACAUUGGCAGCUCCCCGUGGGAAGGAAGGUGUGGUCCAUGGUCCACCUUAUAGCAAUUACAGCAUCCCCCACUUGUCAUGUGCCACUGCUUCUCUGUAAGCAGAGGGGGUGCACACAGCCCAUCCUGUGGAGGGAGGAGAGCCAUGAGCAAGGCAUCGUCCACAGAACCGACUCAGACAGAUGUUCCAGGGUCGGGCCCCUAGCCACGAGCUCGAGAGCGAGCUGCACCCACCUGGCUGACUCCUGCUUCCCUCCAAACCACGAGGCUAGCUGCUGACUCCUAGUACUAGAGAAGACAGAAGGAAAUGGACUUUUCCCACUCCAGACAGGUGCAGACUAAGAGGAGAGAACAGAAUGGAUGUUCCUUCAAAACGACGACGGCACUAGACGGUGGCACAUGCCUGUAACUGUUAGGGAGGCAGGAGGGUCCCAGUGCAAGGCUGCCUGGGCUACACAGUGAAUUACGCCAGCAUGUGUGAGAACUUGGGUUUCAAAAAGCAAACCAGGCAUGGUGGUGCACACCUUUAAUCCCAGCACCUGGGAGGCAGAGGCAGGUGAGUUCAAGGCCAGCCUGGUCUACAGGGCAAGUUCCAGGUCAGCCAGGGCUACACAGAGAGACCCUGUCUUGGGGAAAGAAUAGCCCGAGAAAGCCCUCCAAACUUGAAGGCUGCAGUGUGCUCAGAGGCUGGCUGACUGCCCAACAGGCUUGCACCCAAGUGUGCAGUCCCCAAUAUUGGAGAGAAAAGAAAGAAGAGUCUAUUGCAGUGUGGCUGUAACCCUACCACCAGAGAAGCUGAGGCAGGACUGCUGGGCCAGCCUAGGAUACAGGGUCAAAGUGUCUCAGAACCCCAAGAUUAUGGCUGGACGUGUGCCUGAGCACAGAGCUGCCAGCAUACAGGAAGCCCAGCAGACAGGAGGUAGAGACAGAGGGAGAGGCAUUCAACAUUGUUAUUUCUACAAUGGUGAGUUUGUGGCUAGCCUAAGCUAAGUGAGACCUUGUGUGUGUGCCAGCACCUGCCUCUUUCUCAGUCUUCAACCACAUGAUCCUUGUUUAUCAUGUGUACAGGGUUCUGUCUGCAUGGACGCCUGUCCAUGUUUAUCAUGUGUGCAGUGUUCUGUCUGCAUGGACGCCUGUCCAUGCACACAUGAGGCCAGAAGGCGGCAUCAGACCCCACUACAGAUGGUUGUGAGCCUCCAUGUCGUUGCUGGGAAUUGAACUCAGGACCUCUGGAAGAGCAGUCAGUACUCUUAACCACUGAGCCAUCUCUCCAGCCCAUGCAUACUUUAUUUUAAAAAACCCUUUAAAAUGUAUUGUAUGGAAUACAUGUGUACCCCAAAGCACAAUACAGAGGUCAGGGGACAUAGGGGCUGAUUCUCUCUCCACUGUCAGGGUCAUCAGGCGUGGCAGCGAGUGCCCUUCGCAGCUGAGUGGUGUCAGCAGCCUGAGCCCAGCGUGUGCCUGGGUGCUGGGGUCCUGACACAGGUCCUCAGGAUUGUCUAGCACCCACUGAUUGAGCCCCGCCUCCAGCCCCCAAAGGCAGGGCUUGAGUUUGGUGUUUUUUGGUUUUGAGACGGGUUCUCUGUGGCUCUGGCUGUUCUGGACAGCUCACUAUGUAAACCAAGCUGGCCUGAAACUCACAGAGGUCCAGGUGCCUCUGCCUCCUGAGUGCUAGGAUUAAAGGUGUGUGCCACCACUGCCCAGCUCCAAAUGUCAUCAGAAAGUAACACAAUACAAAUCUAAAAUCU